rnacentral:rRNA from 1 species
UACGUAGGUGGCAAGCGUUAUCCGGAAUUACUGGGCGUAAAGCGUGCGCAGGCGGUCUUUUAAGUCAGAUGUGAAAUCCCCGGGCUUAACCUGGGAACUGCGUUUGAAACUGGAAGGCUUGAGUGUGGCAGAGGGGGGGUGGAAUUCCACGUGUAGCAGUGAAAUGCGUAGAUAUGUGGAGGAACACCGAUGGCGAAGGCAGCCCCCCUGGGCUAACACUGACGCUCGAUGCACGAAAGCGUGGGAGCAAACAGG